rnacentral:rRNA from 1 species
GGGGAUAACACCUGGAAACAGGUGCUAAGACCGCAUAAGCGCACAGACCCGCAUGGGACAGUGUGAAAAACUCCGGUGGUACAAGAUGGAUCCGCGUCUGAUUAGCCAGUUGGCGGGGUAACGGCCCACCAAAGCGACGAUCAGUAGCCGGCCUGAGAGGGUGAACGGCCACAUUGGGACUGAGACACGGCCCAAACUCCUACGGGAGGCAGCAGUGGGGAAUAUUGCACAAUGGGGGAAACCCUGAUGCAGCAACGCCGCGUGAGUGAAGAAGUAAUUCGUUAUGUAAAGCUCUAUCAGCAGGGAAGAAAAUGACGGUACCUGAGUAAGCAGCCCCGGCUAACUACGUGCCAGCAGCCGCGGUAAUACGUAGGGGGCAAGCGUUAUCCGGAUUUACUGGGUGUAAAGGGAGCGUAGACGGUAAAGCAAGUCUGAAGUGAAAUGCCAGUGCUCAACACUGGAACUGCUUUGGAAACUGUUUGGCUGGAGUGCAGGAGAGGUAAGUGGAAUUCCUAGUGUAGCGGUGAAAUGCGUAGAUAUUAGGAGGAACACCAGUGGCGAAGGCGGCUUACUGGACUGUAACUGACGUUGAGGCUCGAAAGCGUGGGGAGCAAACAGGAUUAGAUACCCUGGUAGUCCACGCGGUAAACG